UACGUAGGUGGCAAGCGUUGUCCGGAAUUAUUGGGCGUAAAGCGCGCGCAGGCGGUCCUUUAAGUCUGAUGUGAAAGCCCACGGCUUAACCGUGGAGGGUCAUUGGAAACUGGGGGACUUGAGUACAGAAGAGGGAGAGUGGAAAUUCCACGUGUAGCGGUGAAAUGCGUAGAGAUGUGGAGGAACACCAGUGGCGAAGGCGACUCUCUGGUCUGUAACUGACGCUGAGGCGCGAAAGCGUGGGUAGCGAACAGG
rnacentral:rRNA from 1 species